rnacentral:rRNA from 1 species
AUUGAACGCUGGCGGCAGGCCUAACACAUGCAAGUCGAGCGGAGCGGCGGAAGGGUGAGUAAUGCCUAGGAAUCUGCCUGGUAGUGGGGGAUACCGUCCGGAAACGGGCGCUAAUACCGCAUACUAUCAGAUGAGCCUCGGUCGGAUUAGCUAGUUGGUGGGGUAAAGGCCUACCAAGGCGACGAUCCGUAACUGGUCUGAGAGGAUGAUCAGUCACACUGGAACUGAGACAAGGUCCAGACUCCUAAGGGAGGCAGCAGUGGGGAAUAUUGGACAAUGGGCGCAAGCCUGAUGGAGCCAUGCCGCGUGAAUGAAGAAGGCCUUCGGGUUGUAAAGUACUUUUGUCGGGGAGGCGUUACCCGCAGAAGAAGCACCGGCUAACUCCGUGCCAGCCGCCGCGGUAAUUC